rnacentral:lncRNA from 1 species
CUGUAGGUGAUGGGAAUUUAGAAGGCGGUUCGCACCCAAUUCCCUGCUUGGUUUGGAUUUUCAGGAAAUGAUGAGGCUUCUUAACUUCUGUGGCUGUGGCAGUAAAUAUGGAAGAGGAUGGGAGCGUUAUGAUCUUGGUGCUCAAACUCCCUAACUGCUCUGAGUUUCAUCACUUCCUAUGCUUCAUUCUCUUUAAUUUCACUCUUCUUUUCUUUCACUUCUCCUUGUCCAUACCACACGGUGGAAUUCCUUAGGUCUGGGAUUUAUGAGAGCAGAGUCUGAUCUCUGUUUAAUAGUGACCAGUGGGACAGAGCUGUGUGCUGGCUGCCUGGCCGCUUCCUCCCCCUUGGAGUCACUGGGCUGCAGCUGCUAAUCUCCUGGCUGGGGACUAGAGCUUGGCAGCUCCACCUCGGUGCUCUGUUGGGCUGAGACUUUCAGGAUUGCCCUCCAGGCAGUGAAUGACACUUGACUUGGUGGCCUCCAGAGAGUCACCAGACAGCUUGUACGACGUUCUCGAAUCUGUGGCUCAUGACCAUCAUCACCACUCUCCCCAGCCCCUCGCACUGUGGACGAGCACGUGUUUUCCCUGGAGGGACCCUGGAGCCGCCUCCUCCACAGGGCACUGACAGAGUCUGUGUGAAAUUCUGUGAACCCAGGGCAGGCGCGGGCACCGACCUCAGCCAAAACUCGGAUGGCCCUCGGGCCACCACUCACUCCACCCGCCAUGUGAGUCAUUGCUGUGCAUGGUGGCAGCGUGCGGUGUUCCCUCCAGCAGCCUCUGGUGUGACAUUCUGGCAUCUUCGUCUGCUGGUGUGUAUUGAAGGGGGGCGGGCUGCAGAGCUGCACAGCCCAGGUGUGUAUGUGUACAGGGGCAGGGGGUGUCCAGGAAUGCAGCGGGUCCCCCACGGCAGAUGUUAA